rnacentral:misc_RNA from 1 species
AAGACUAUAGACCUGCGGAGUACCUGCGGAGGGAUCAUCAUUGAAAAUUUUGCAAUAUUUCAUUCCUUUUUUGGGGAGCUUUGGAAUUUUGCGAAGCAAACAAUUUAUUUAACACCCAAAAAGUUUAAAGUAAGGGGGCCUUUCUUAGGCUGCUUUACUUGACAAAAAUGAGUGGUUGCCUGACUGCAGAAAAAGUGUUUUGGUGUUGGGAAAUUGAAAACAACUUUUAACAACGGAUCU